UCCCUGGUGGCCUAGUGGUUAAGGCUUUGUACUUAUAAGGAAGGUCUCCUUAUGCCAUGCAAAGAUCGCGGGUUCGAACCCCGCCCAGGGAA
rfam:Spizellomyces punctatus DAOM BR117 chromosome Tnknown supercont1.5, whole genome shotgun sequence.